rnacentral:rRNA from 1 species
CCACCUGAUCCCAUCCCGAACUCAGAAGUGAAACUGCUCAGCGCCGAUGAUAGUGUGGGGUUUCCCCAUGUGAAAGUAGGACACUGCCAGAC